GCCCAAGAGAUCGGGAUAACACCUGGAAACAGAUGCUAAUACCGGAUAACAACAGAUGAUGCCUAUCAACUGUUUAAAAGAUGGUUCUGCUAUCACUCUUGGAUGGACCUGCGGUGCAUUAGCUAGUUGGUAGGGUAACGGCCUACCAAGGCGAUGAUGCAUAGCCGAGUUGAGAGACUGAUCGGCCACAUUGGGACUGAGACACGGCCCAAACUCCUCGGGAGGCAGCAGCA
rnacentral:rRNA from 1 species